rnacentral:rRNA from 1 species
GAUGAACGCUGGCGGUAUGCCUAACACAUGCAAGUCGAACGAAGCUUUCGGGCUUAGUGGCGGACGGGUGAGUAACACGUGAGAACCUGCCUUCAGGAUGGGGACAACAGUUGGAAACGACUGCUAAUACCCGAUGUGCCGAGAGGUGAAAGAUUUAUCGCCUGAAGAUGGGCUCGCGUCUGAUUAGCUAGUUGGUAGUGUAAGGGACUACCAAGGCGACGAUCAGUAGCUGGUCUGAGAGGAUGAGCAGCCACACUGGGACUGAGACACGGCCCAGACUCCUACGGGAGGCAGCAGUGGGGAAUUUUCCGCAAUGGGCGAAAGCCUGACGGAGCAAUACCGCGUGAGGGAGGAAGGUCUUUGGAUUGUAAACCUCUUUUCUCAGGGAAGAAGAUCUGACGGUACCUGAGGAAUAAGCAUCGGCUAACUCCGUGCCAGCCGCCGCAGUAACAC